UCCCUGGUGGUCCAGUGGUUAGGACUCAGCACUUUCACUGCUGUGGGUGCUGGUUCGAUCCCUGGUUGGGGAA
rnacentral:tRNA from 1 species